rnacentral:rRNA from 1 species
AUACGUAGGGUGCAAGCGUUAAUCGGAAUUACUGGGCGUAAAGCGUGCGCAGGCGGAAUUGUAAAAAAGAGGUGAAAACCCCGGGCUCAACCUCGGAACCGCCUUUGUGACUGCAAAGCUUGAGAACGGCAACGGGGGAAGGAAUUCCGCCUGUAGCAGUGAAAUGCGUAGUCAUGCGGCGGUACACCGAUGGCGAAGGCAAUCCCCCGGGGCUGUACUGACGCUGAAGCCCGAAAGCGUGGCGAACAAAUAGAGUUAGAUACCAUGGUAGUCCUCGGCCGAAACGAUGUUAACUGGUUGGUGAGUCUCCAUUUUCACAGCAACGGAGCUAGCGGAUUAAGAUGAAAGCCUGGCGAGGACGGCCUCAAGGUUGAAGCUCAAAUGAAUUGACGAGU